rnacentral:rRNA from 1 species
GGCUCAGAUUGAACGCUGGCGGCAGGCCUAACACAUGCAAGUCGAACGGUAACAGGAAGAAGCUUGCUUCUUUGCUGACGAGUGGCGGACGGGUGAGUAAUGUCUGGGAAACUGCCUGAUGGAGGGGGAUAACUACUGGAAACGGUAGCUAAUACCGCAUAACGUCGCAAGACCAAAGAGGGGGACCUUCGGGCCUCUUGCCAUCGGAUGUGCCCAGAUGGGAUUAGCUAGUAGGUGGGGUAACGGCUCACCUAGGCGACGAUCCCUAGCUGGUCUGAGAGGAUGACCAGCCACACUGGA